rnacentral:rRNA from 1 species
AUCAACGCUGGCCGGCGCGCUUAACACAUGCAAGUCGCACGAGAAAGGGAGCAAUCCUAAGUAAAGUGGCGCACGGGGUGGAGUAACACGUGGAUCAUCUAACCUUUUAGUGGGGAAAGGGGAAUACCUCUGGGAAACCGGAGACAAUACCGCGAUACGCCCGCAAGGGGACAGCAGCAAUGCGCUGACUGAAGAGGAGUCCGCGAGCCCGAUUAGCUAGUUGGCGGUCUGGGGUAACGGCCCCACCAAGGCGAAGAUCGGUAGCCGAGGCCCUGAGAGGGGCACACGGCCACACUGGCACUGAAACACGGGCCAGACUCCUACGGGAAGGCAGCGAAGUGGGGAAUCUUGCACAAUGGGCGGACAAGCCUGAUGCAGCGACGCCGGUGAGCGAUGAAGCCCUUCGGGGUGUAAGCUCUUUGGACGGAACGAUAAUGACGGUACCCGGAGAAGAAGCUGCGGCUAACUACGUGCCAGCAGCCGCGGGUAAUACGUAGGCAGCGAGCGUGUGUCGGAAUUACUGGGCGUAAAGAGUGUGUAGCGGUGCUCCCAGUCUGUUGUGAAAUCUCCCGGCUUAACUGGGAGGGUUGCAGCCGGAAACCUAGAGUGCUAGCGGGUGGCGAGUAGCUGUAAGCGGAAUUCCUGGUUGAAGCGGUGAAAAUGCGUAGAUAUCAGGAGAACACCUGUGGUGUAGACAGCUUAUCUGGACCACUUCUGACGCUGAGACACGAAGGCGUGGGUAGCAAACAGGAUUAGAUACCCUGGUAUGUCCACGCCCUAAACGAUGCAUACUUGGGUGUGAGCGAUUCAUUUCGUUCGUGCCCGGAGCUAACGCGUUAAGUAUGCCGCCUGGGCGAGUACGGCUCGCAAGGCUGAAUACUCAAGGAAUGACGGGGGCCCGCACAAGCGGUGAGAGCAUGUGGUUCAAUUCGACGCAACGCGAAGAACCUUACCUGGGCUCGAACGGCUUUGGAUCCUCUUUGGAAACACAGAGACUUCUCGCAAGAGACCGGAGUCGAGGUGCUGCAUGGCUGUCGUCCAGCUCGUGCUCGUGAGAAUGUGGGGUUAAGUCCCGCAACGAGCGCAGCACCUUGUCCUGUGUUGCCACUCCGUAAGGGAAGCACUCUCAGGAGACCGCCAGCGAUAAGUGGAGGAAGGUGGGGAUGAUGUCAGAGUCAUCAUGGCCUUAUGCCGAGGCUACACACGGUGCUACAAUGGACGGUACAAAGCGCUGCAACCCGCGGAGGGGGAGCCAAUCGCAAAAAACCGUUCUCAGUUCGGAUCGCAGGCUGCAACUCGCCUGCGUGAAGCUGGAAUCGCUAGUAAUGGCGUAUCAGAAGCGAUGCCGUGAAUACGUUCCGGGCCUUGUACACACCGCCCGUCACAAUCACGAAAGUGGAUUGUACUAGAAGUCCUAAUCAAACAGGCCCAAGGUGGAUUCAUGAUUGGGGGU